rnacentral:rRNA from 1 species
ACCAGUGGUGGAGGCUAUGCGAGUGAGAAUGCAGGCAUGAGUAGCGAAAGAUGAGUGAGAAACUCAUCCGCCGGAUGAUCAAGGGUUCCAGGGUCAAGUUAAUCUGCCCUGGGUUAGUCGGGGCCUAAGGCGAGGCCGACAGGCGUAGUCGAUGGAUAACGGGUUGAUAUUCCCGUACCGGUGAAAAACCGCCCAUACUGAUAUUGUGAUGCUAACCAUGCGAAGCAUGAUGUGCAGGCUUUUGUUUGUGUGUUGUGUGGGUUGUGGGACCCGAUCUUUGGAGGUAAACGUAUUAACAGGUGUGACGCAGGAAGGUAGCCAAGCCACGCGAUGGUUGUCGUGGUCUAAGCGUGUAGGGUUGUCGGUUGUUAAAUGCGCCGGCUGUGUGCCUGAGACGUGAUGGGACCCCGUUUUUGGGGGAUUUGGUGAUCCUAUGCUGCCGAGAAAAGCAUCGGCGUGAGGUUUUAGCCGCCCGUACCCUAAACCGACACUGGUGGAUAGGUAGAGUAUACCGAGGCGAUCGAGUGAAUCGUGGUGAAGGAACUCGGCAAAAUGCCCCCGUAACUUUGGGAUAAGGGGGACCUGAGCUGUCGUGCACCCGUGCGGUGUGGUGGCGGUGAGGGGCGCAGAGUCCAGGGGGAAACGACUGUUUACCAAAAACACAGGUCCGUGCGAAGUCGUAAGACGAUGUAUACGGACUGACUCCUGCCCGGUGCUGGAAGGUUAAGGGGAACUGUGAGUGUAUGCGUAGCGGUGAACUUAAGCCCCAGUAAACGGCGGUGGUAACUAUAACCAUCCUAAGGUAGCGAAAUUCCUUGUCGGGUAAGUUCCGACCUGCACGAAUGGAGUAACGAUUUCCCUACUGUCUCCACCAUGAACUCGGUGAAAUUGCAUUACGAGUAAAGAUGCUCGUUACGCGCAGCAGGACGGAGAGACCCCGGGACCUUUACUAUAGUUUGGUAUUGGUGAUUGGGACGGUUUGUGUAGGAUAGGUGGGAGACGUUGAUGCGGCCACGCUAGUGGUGGUGGAGUCGUUGGUGAAAUACCACUCUGAUUGUUCUGGUUAUCUCACUGUGGACCGUGAUCCGGUUCAAGGACAGUGCCUGAUGGGUAGUUUGACUGGGGCGGUCGCCUCCUAAAGGGUAACGGAGGCGCCCAAAGGUUCCCUCAGCCUGGUUGGUAAUCAGGUGGUGAGUGUAAGUGCACAAGGGGGCUUGACUGUGAGACUGACAGGUCGAGCAGGGACGAAAGUCGGGACUAGUGAUCUGACGGUGGCUUGUGGAUGCGCCGUCACUCAACGGAUAAAAGGUACCCCGGGGAUAACAGGCUGAUCUUGCCCGAGCGCUCAUAGCGACGGCAUGGUUUGGCACCUCGAUGUCGGCUCGUCGCAUCCUGGGGCUGGAGUCGGUCCCAAGGGUUGGGCUGUUCGCCCAUUAAAGCGGCACGCGAGCUGGGUUCAGAACGUCGUGAGACAGUUCGGUCCCUAUCCGCUGCGCGCGGAGGAAUCUUGAGAAGGGCUGUCUUUAGUACGAGAGGACCGAGACGGACUGACCUCUGGUGUGCCAGUUGUUCUGCCAAGAGCAUGGCUGGUUGGCUACGUCGGGUUGUGAUAACCGCUGAAAGCAUCUAAGCGGGAAGCACGCUUCAAGAUAAGGGUUCCCACAGGUGAUCCUGGUAAGGUCCCCGAGAGAUGAUCGGGUUGAUAGGCCAGACGUGGACGCAUCGUAAGGUGUGGAGCUGACUGGUACUAAUAGACCGAGGACUUUCAUUAA